UGAAGGGCUUCGGCUUGUAAACCGCUUUUCUUUGGAAAGAAGGCCCAGAUCGUGAAUCUGGGAUUGACGGUACCAGGGGAAUAAGCCCCCGGCUAACUCCGUGC
rnacentral:rRNA from 1 species